rnacentral:lncRNA from 1 species
ACAUACAACCUCAUCUAAACAUCCACCUGUGUUUCUGUUUUGCAGAGGACCUGAGGGAUCUAAGGCUUAAGAGAAGCAGCCUAACAUAUUCUAGGUCACAGAGCCAGUCAGUAGGAGGGGAGAGAUUCAAACCAGAACCUCAUGAACUCCUGUCCAUUACACAUGGAAAGUUUGCCUGGAGAUCCGGCCCAGACUGUUAAUGGAGCAGUGGAAGAAGCACUGCCAGGUCCCAGGAGAACAAGAGCAGUGCUUUCUCCAAAUCUUAACAGGAGUAAACGGCGGGAGGGAGAGCUAGUAUUCCUGUAGUAGAAGCUGAAGACAGAGUAAAAGCAUGCAGUUUCCCUCUCAAAGGCAACUAAUCUGAUAGGAGCAUGUGGAACGAAAGAGGAUGGAAGACGGUGAGGCCAAUAUUGGGAAGGUUACAUUUGAGGAGAGCUGGGGCUCAAGCAUUCUAGGGCACUGGGAGACAGCAUAAAAUUCAUCCUGUCUUGAUUUUAGAUGAUUUGUGUGUGUGUGAAAAAAGGGAGGAGACAUUUUAUAUGUACCCACAUUGUGCCACACUCCGCUUUUGUGUCACUUAAUAUCUCUUGGUAAUUUGGUAAUUGUUCCAUAUCAGUGCCCAAAAAGCUUCCUCAUUCUUUUUUUUUUUUUGCAACUGUUCAGUUUUCUAUGUAUGGUUACAUAAUAUUAUAUUUAACCCGUUCUUUACUAGUGUCUGUUCCCAUUUGUUUUUCCAUUUCGAGCACCAGACUUUAAAACUCAUUCAUCUAGGACACACAAAGGAUUUUGUUUCCUACGAAGAGCUCC